rnacentral:lncRNA from 1 species
AUGUGCAGUGCUGCGAGCGCGCCGGUGGCCGCCCUUCCCCCACCACCAGCGGCGAGUGGGUGACAGAGCCCCCGUCUCCGCGCGUCUUCGCCGCCCUGCGCCGUGACCCGCUGUGGCACUGGGCCACGAGUGGAGGCUGCGCCCCUCCAGGAGAUGCGCCUCAGACGGGCGGCGAAGGGCUCGGGCCGCGCGGGAGCGAGUUCUGGAGCCCCGGCGGGCGCGCGCGCGCGGGACGAGGCCCCGCCGGGGCGUGGUGGGGGCG